AUUGAACGCUGGCGGAAUGCUUUACACAUGCAAGUCGAACGGCAGCACGGGGGCAACCCUGGUGGCGAGUGGCGAACGGGUGAGUAAUACAUCGGAACGUGCCCGGUCGUGGGGGAUAACGUAGCGAAAGUUACGCUAAUACCGCAUACGAUCUACGGAUGAAAGCGGGGGACCGUAAGGCCUCGCGCGAUUGGAGCGGCCGAUGUCAGAUUAGGUAGUUGGUGAGGUAAAGGCUCACCAAGCCGACGAUCUGUAGCUGGUCUGAGAGGACGACCAGCCACACUGGGACUGAGACACGGCCCAGACUCCUACGGGAGGCAGCAGUGGGGAAUUUUGGACAAUGGGCGCAAGCCUGAUCCAGCCAUUCCGCGUGCAGGACGAAGGCCUUCGGGUUGUAAACUGCUUUUGUACGGAACGAAAAGGCUCUGGUUAAUACCCGGGGCUCAUGACGGUACCGUAAGAAUAAGCACCGGCUAACUACGUGCCAGCCGCCGCCGUAA
rnacentral:rRNA from 1 species